UAGGGAAUCUUCGGCAAUGGGGGGAACCCUGACCGAGCAACGCCGCGUGAGUGAAGAAGGUUUUCGGAUCGUAAAGCUCUGUUGUUAAGGAAGAACGAGUGUGAGAAUGGAAAGUUCAUGCUGUGACGGUACUUAACCAGAAAGGGACGGCUAACUACGUGCCAGCAGCCGCGGUAAUACGUAGGUGGCAAGCGUUGUCCGGAUUUAUUGGGCGUAAAGCGAGCGCAGGCGGUCAAUUAAGUCUGAUGUGAAAGCCCCCGGCUCAACCGGGGAGGGUCAUUGGAAACUGGUUGACUUGAGUGCAGAAGAGGAGAGUGGAAUUCCAUGUGUAGCGGUGAAAUGCGUAGAUAUAUGGAGGAACACCAGUGGCGAAGGCGACUCUCUGGUCUGUAACUGACGCGGAGGCUCGAAAGCGUGGGUAGCAAACAGG
rnacentral:rRNA from 1 species